GAAAGCUGAGGACCAAAGCAGCUACAGGAUUGACCUGCCCAAAGUCACACAGUGCGUCUGCAGCCCGGCUUCGGACCAGAGUUUCUUCUGAUAAGAGGCAAGCUCACUGAUGGCCACACCUGCUCAUCCUGGCUAACGUCUACAGACCUGUGCCAAGGAGCCAAAGAGAAGAGAUCAGAAUAACCAAGGUAUGCUGUGUCAAAUUAAUUAACUUUUAGCAAACCAAGGGCCAA
rnacentral:lncRNA from 1 species